CCGGCGACCGGCGGACGGGUGCGUAACGCGUAUGUAACCUACCUUUGACAGGGGGAUAACAUCGAGAAAUUGGUACUAAUACCCCAUAACAUCACCGGAGGCAUCUUCGGUGGUUGAAAACUCAGGUGGUCAGAGAUGGACAUGCGUUGUAUCAGCUAGUUGGUGAGGUAACGGCUCACCAAGGCGACGAUACAUAGGGGGACUGAGAGGUCAACCCCCCACAUUGGUACUGAGACACGGUCCAAACUCCUACGGAAGGCAGCAG
rnacentral:rRNA from 1 species